CCGUAUAAGUUCAAUUUGGAAGUUAAUCUGCAUGAAUAAGCUGCUGAAUGAUGGUCAUAUGCUGGUUGAAGGAAUUAAAUUAACAUUGGAGGAACAGUCGGUCCAAUUAGAAGCCAAACAUGCGACAAAAUUAGCAAGGGAAUUAUUAUUUCCUUCUUGCUAAGCGGUGGCCGACUUCAAUUUAAUCAAGGAAGUCAAAUCAGCUUUGAAGAGUUAAAUUAAAACUCUACUAAGCUGAAGCUAUUUUUAUGCGACGGUUUCAGCUAGGAAACGGGGGAUAAGAUUGAAUUUAAUUUUUGAAUUGUUGAAGGUUAUUAUCCCAUAAAUAGAGAAGACCAACAGUUGGAAAAGAAAAAAAGUAGAGAAAAAAAUAUACAGCAGCGUAGAAAGGCGUGACACAAGCAUGCAGAAUUUUCUAAAAUUGGACUAGCAACCCGAUCAAGGAGCUGGAGUAACAGCUAGCAAAUACGGCUAAUUGGGAGAAGGGAAAUCGGACGACUUGAAGAACUUCGCCUUCCAAGAACCAGUUUGUCAUUCAUGUUCUUUCCAAUGGAUUCGUGUUCUAUUUUACUAGCUAUGAGUGGCUAGUUUAUUUAAGCUUAGUUAGACACUUAUGAAACCGAGCACAAGUGAUUUGAAAAUUUAUUUUAUUCUAAAAUCGAAUUCGGCAUUCUUGAAUUGUUUGAUUUUAUCUUCCAAGGAAUUUUUCUAAUUCAAUUGGAUUGAUCACCUAAUUAAUUUGGGAAUUUUUCUUAUAAUCAUGUAAGUGCAAAUUGAUAAAUCGAAUUUCUCAAUUACGCUUAGAAUUAGUGAUAAUUAAUUGGCCGCAGCUAAUUAAGACAACUUCGGAUUUAAUCUUAGAAGCCGCUGGUGGAUUUUCUUUGGUUAAGGCCAGGAGAAGUCUCUAAAACUCUAAAAAAACCUUUAACAAGUCGACACAAAGAUAAUUAAAGGUAGAUUUCAAUCAUGAACGAUCUCUAAUUUGAUUAAUUUACUGGGGAUAGGAAGUCGCUUCGUAAGCGAUUUUUCAGCCUUACUGCUAAUUUGAUUUAUUAGAAUAAUUUCAGGUUGCAAAGGACUUGUGCUGGGUGGAUUAAGGCGUUAAUAACUAAGCAUUAUUUUUCUCUUGAUGUUUUCUUUUCAGCAGUCUUAAUUUGAGCCAAAGCUUUUUUGUUACUUGAGAUUAUUUUUAGCAAUCGUAAAACAUAAACCCCCCAUUUUCUUUUCUUUUUCGCAUGCCUUUUACAUUACUUUAAUUUUAAAUCACUUCAAAUAGAUUUGUUGCAAGCUUCUUCGUGGGACGAUUCCCUAUUUACCCUAUAUUACCAGUUAAUGUUGGUUAAGUAAGUGGAUUUAAUUUGGUGGCCGUAACGACAGCUACCAAAUUUUGGCGCCGUUGCCGGGGAAGCGACGUAGUCAUAUCUAUUUGAUUUUUAGAACUUAUUUUGUUUUCUUGUUUUUGUCUCUGUAGGUAGAUUAGUCCCUUUAGUAUAUGUUAUUAAGGAGUGGAAGACGAACAUCGAAAGAUCCUGUUAACAUCACUGAUCGGCAAACGAUCAGUCCAACCUCCACGUUGAACCUAACGAUUCAGAGGAUUCCAACAUGGCUAACCAGACCUUGAAGCAAUUGGCCGCUCCUAACUUGGCUGCGCAACCACCAUCUAUCACGUAUCCCGCCCUUGAUAGGCCAUUAAAGCUUAAUUUGGGAUUUAUGAAUUUAUUGCCGAAAUUCAAUGGACUACCAGGUGAGGACCCUUACCGCCAUAUUAAUGAAUUUCUAAUUACUUGUUCAAGUAUGCAGCCAGAUGGCAUUGAAGAGGAACAAAUCAAGCUCCGAGCUUUUCCUUUCUUGUUACAAGGUUUGGCGAAGGACUGGUUAUAUUACAUGCCGCCAGGCUCAUUCACAACUUGGACAGGGUUACAUAAGGCUUUCCUUGAGAAGUAUUUUCUGGCAUCUAGGAUAGGGUCAAUCAGAAAGGAAAUUUGUGGAAUUAAGCAGCUAGUAGGUGAAUCACUAUAUGAGUAUUGGGAAAGAUUUAAACGGCUAUGUGCGAGUUGUCCACAGCAUCAGAUUAGUGAGCAGCUCUUAGUGCAAUAUUUUUAUGAAGGGUUGACACCACAAGAUCGAGGAAUGAUCAAUGCAGCAAGUGGAGGUGCAUUGGUUGAUAAAACUCCUAAGCAAGCCCGAAAUUUGAUCGCUAAUAUGGCGCAGAAUACACAGCAAUUCGGUCUCAGGAGGUCCGACUUGGGUAAACGAAUGAAUGAAGGCCAGUCGAGCAUGAUGGAGGCUUAAUUAGCUAAUUUAACGGCUAUGGUAACUAAGUUGAUGACUGGAGGUACUGCGAAAGCUUCACUAUGUGCAUUUGUUGUUUAGAAGGACAUACCACAGAUAUGUGUUUGACAUUACAGGAAGGGGAAGCUAACACCGUCUUUCCAAAUCAGAGAAGGUAUGAUCCAUAUUCAGCUACCUAUAAUGAGGGAUGGAGAGACCACCCCAAUCUCAGAAACCAAAACAGUGCCACACCUCCGGGAUUUGAGUAGCAAAAUUCCCGACCAUAUAAUUUGUCACAGCAACAACCCAACCAUCAAAACCUUAGUGCUGAAACCAAAACCCAUACCAUGCUUGAACAAAUGAUGAAGAUGAUGGCUGACCAGAAGAAGGAAACCGAUGGAAGGUUUCAGUCUUUGGAAUCGGCAAUAAAGCUUUUGCAAACCAGAGCCUCGUCGACCGAUUUUAAUCUUGGGAACUUACAAGCACAGGUAAAUAAUCGGUUACCGUCACAGCCUGUGGCAAAUCCGAGGGAUAAUGCCAGUGCUAUAACCUUACGAAGUAGGAAGGAGUUGAGAUCGACACUUAAGAAGGUCCAAAACAGUGACGAGGAAGAUGAAACUGAGGUAAAAAAGGUUCGAUUUAGUGAUAUUGAAGAGGAAAAUUUAUCCUUGCCGAAGGCUGUUUUACAACCGUCGCAAACAGCACCAAAGGAAGGAGGGAAAUCACGUUUACAACAACCCACUGCUUCGCACGAUGCAGCAAACUUUGAGCAGGAAAUGAGGGUUCCCGAGCUUUGAGUACAAGUAGGUCAGAACGAUAAUAACCAACCUCGGUCUUAUGUGCAGAAGGCGCCAUUUCCACAGCGUUUGAGGAAGGAAAAGUCAGACGACGUCAAUGCUAAAAUCCUAGAGACUUUUCGCAAGGUACAAGUUAAUAUUCCAUUGAUUGAUGCAAUUAAACAAGUGGCUAGAUAUGAUAAGUUUUUAAAAGAAUUAUGCACAUCUAAAAGGAAAUUAAUUGGAAAUGAAAAAAUUAGCUUAGGCCAAAAUGUAUCUGCAGUAUUUCAAAUGAAACUCCCAACUAAAUGUAAAGAUCCUGGAAUGUUUUCGAUACCUUGUAAGAUAGGAGACCUUAAACUAGAUAGAGCUAUGCUUGAUUUAGGAGCUUCUAUAAAUGUCAUUCCUAGGAGUAUCUACGAUAAAGUUCAAUUAGGUGCAUUAAAAGACACGGGAUUGAUAAUUCAACUUGCGGAUAGAAGUAAUGCCUACCCUGAUGGCGUUUUAGAAGAUGUUUUAGUGCAAGCAAAUGAGUUGUCUUUCCAGCUGAUUUUUAUGUUUUAGACAUGGGACCUAAUGAUAAUUCGAUUGAUGUACCCUUACUCUUAGGUAGACUUUUUCUUAAGACGGCUAGAACAAAAAUUGAUGUGUUUAAAGGGAAUUUAACUAUGGAAUUUGAUGGUGAGAUGAUUAAAUUUAAUAUAUUUGAUGCUAUGAGAUAUCCCACUGAUAUUAAUUCUGUAUUUACUCUUGAUGUAAUUGAUAAUUUUGUUCAAGAUGUCUAUGAAUUAGGGGAUGAGGACGAGUUGAAAAGUAUUUUGGCUAAGAGCAUUUUUAAUAUCGACAAGCAUGAAUUUAUCAUUUCUGAUUCUUUAAUUGAAUCAGUUUGCGCAUUAGACUCGCCCAAAUUGACACGAUUCAAGCCAAUUCUUCCUAACCUUACGGUGACUGGUAAGCAAGUCCCUUCAUUGAUUUCGCCACCUAAAUUAGAGUUAAAAGAGCUGGCCGAAAAUUUAAAGUACAUUUAUUUAUGGGAAAAUCAAACUUUACCAUUGAUAGUGUCGAAUUCUUUAACUGAAAUGCAAGAACUCAAGCUGCUUAGAGUUCUUAGGGAACAUAAAGAAGCUUUCGGUUGGACACUAGCUGAUAUUCAGGGGCUUAGUACGACUUUAUGUACUCACAAGAUAGCCUUGGAACCAGAUUCAGUUCCCAAAAGAGACCCCCAACGACGAUUGAAUCCACCAAUGAUGGAGGUAGUCAAGACUGAAAUUUUAAAGUGGUUGGAAGCCGAUGUCAUUUAUCCUAUAGUCGAUUCAAAGUGGGUAAGUCCAAUUCAUGUUGUACCUAAGAAGGGAGGUACUACAAUAGUUACCAACGAGGAAGGGUUAGAGAUUCCUACGAGAGUGCAGAAUGGUUGGCGGGUUUGUAUAGACUAUAGGAAACUGAACAAAGCCACUAAAAAAGACCACUACCCCCUUCCAUUCAUGGAUCAAAUGUUAGAAAGGUUAGCUGGUCGCUCACAUUUUUGUUUUUUAGAUGGCUAUUCAGGUUAUUUGUAGGUACCUAUUGAACCUGAGGAUCAAGAGAAGACCACCUUCACUUACCCGUUUGGAACUUACGCCUUCAAGAGAAUGCCUUUCGGAUUGUGCAACGCACCAGCUACUUUUCAAAGAGGUACAACGAGUAUAUUUUCAGGUUUUAUUUCACAUUUAAUGGAGGUGUUCAUGGAUUAUUUUACGGUUUAUAGUGAUUCAUUUGAUCAAUGUUUGCAUCAUCUUGUGUUAGUUCUUAGGCGUUGCAUUGAGACUAACCUGAUAUUGAAUUUUGAGAAUGUCAUCUCAUGGUUGGAAAAGGCGUAGUAUUUGGGCAUGUCGUCUUAGCUAAAGGUUUAGAAGUCGACCAAGCCAAAGUCGAGGUAAUUAAAAAUCUACCUUAUCCAGGUACUGUGAAAGGAAUUCGAUCCUUCUUGGGUCAUGUAGGUUUUUACCGUCGGUUCAUCAAGAAUUUUUCGCAGAUAUCGUCACCUUUAUGUGCAUUGCUAGGUAAGGAUGUCGCAUUUGAAUUUAAUGAGAAUUGCAAAAAAUCUUUUGAUGAAUAUAAAUUGAAAUUAAUCACGGCUCCUAUCAUUCAAGGACCGAAUUAUGCAUUACCUUUUGAGAUUCUGUGUGAUGCUAGUGAUAAGGCUGUUGGUGCAGCUUUAUGACAAAGAAAUGGUAAGGAGUCUUAUAUUAUCAGGUAUGCUAGCGAGCUAUUGAACCCAGCUCAAUGCAAUUAUAUGACAACCGAGAAAGAGCUCUAUUCCAUAGUUUUUGCCUUAGAGAAAUUUAGAGCAUACUUGUUAGGAGUCAAAGUUGUUGUAUUUUCUGACCAUGGUGCUCUUAAAUAUUUGUUGCAUAAAAAAGAAGCUAAGCCCCGAUUAAUAAGAUGGAUUUUGCUUUUGCAGGAAUUUGACUUGGAAAUUAAAGAUAAGAAAGGUAAAGAGAACCUUGUGGCCGAUCAUUUGAGUAGGAUAGAGACUGGAAUUUUGAGGGAUGAGCCGAGUGAUUUAUUUCCCGAUAAGCGACUUUAUAGUGUGUCUAGUGUUUUGCCAUGGUAUGCUGACAUAGUUAACUACUUAGUAACUAAAGAGUUCCCCACAAAUGCACCUAGACAUUUGAGAGAAAAAAUUAGGAGUCAAGCCUGAUUUUAUUUAUGGGAGGAUCCGUACCUUUGGCGGUUUUGUAGUGACCAAAUAAUUAGGCGUUGUGUCGAUGACAGUAAGAUAGAUUCGGUGCUUAAUUUUUGUCAUUCUCGAGAAGAUGGGGGACAUUUUGGGCCUAAACGAACAGCUCAUAAAAUACUUGAGUGUGGGUUAUUUUGGCCGACUAUUCAUAAAGAUUCAUAUGCAUUUUGUAAAAAUUGUGCAUCAUGUCAAAAAACCGGCAAUUUAAGUAGCAGAAAUCAAAUGCCAUUACAUAAUUUUUAUGUUUGUGACAUCUUUGAUGUAUGGGGUAUUGAUUUUAUGGGGUCUUUUCCUUCUUCUUUCGGUUAUCUAUACAUUCUUGUUUGUGUUGAUUACUUGUUGAAAUGGGUAGAAGCAUUCCCAACUAGGGCCGAUGAUGCUAAAACUGUGGUGAAAUGUCUUAAAACCAACAUCUUAAAUAGAUUUGGAGUACCUAGGACUAUAAUCAGUGACAAGGGAACACAUUUCUAUAAUAGAACCUUGAAAGCUUUAUUUGCACAAUUUGGUGUCAUCCACAAAGUGUCGACAGCUUAUCACCCUCAAACCAAUGGGCAAGCCGAGAGUAGAAACAAGGAAAUUAAGGGAAUUUUAGAGAAAAUUGUGAAACCUACUAGGAAAGAUUGGAGUCAAAGGUUAGAUGAAGCGUUGUGGGCUGUUCGAACGGCUUACAAAACGCCAAUUGGGAUGUCACCUUAUAGGGUUGGUUUUGGGAAGGCAUGUCAUCUUCCCGUUGAGCUUGAGCAUAGGUCAUUUUGGGCUGUUAAGCAAUGUAAUUUGGAUUAUAGUUUGGCAGGUGAAGAGCGCAAGUUGAAGCUGCAAGAAUUGGAGGAGUUGCGCCUAGAGGCAUAUGAAAAUUCGGUCAUCUACAAAGGUAAGUCGAAGGCAUUUCGUUGCUCAAAUUUGAUUCGCAAAGAAUUCAAGGUAGGGGAAAAGGUGUUGUUAUUUAAUUCUAAACUUAAACUGUUUCCCGGUAAAUUGAAAUCGAGAUGGCUUGGACCGUUUAUAAUAACAGAGGUGCAUCAUCAUGGGGCAAUCGAAAUUCGGAGCCUCGAUACUAAUAAAGUUUUCAAAGUAAAUGGUCACAGGUUGAAACAUUUUUAUGAAGGGGAGCAAGCCGCUUGGAUGGAGGAGAUCAAUCUUGAGGAUCCAUGAGGAAUUGUGAUGUCGAGCCAACGACUUAAAACAAGGGCACUUGUGGGAGGCAACCCACGUUUUCAGGGAAGUUUUCUUUUAUCUUUUCCAUUAGUAUUGUUCUUUCCAUUGGUAAUUUUAAUUCUCUUUUGCAUAUGGGGCACUGCAAACAUUAAGUAUGGGGGAGAAUCAAUUCAUUGAUUUCUACGUAUUUGAUGUUUUGUUUUUAGCAACUUUCAUGAAUAAGUUUUGUUAAAAUUCCUUUAGCAGAAUAUUUAAAUAAAAGAAUUAAGAUGUAUUUCAUGAAUUCAAGUUGAUUGGGGUGGUUGUAUGUCAAUUGGUUGGGUUUAGUUUUGUAUUCAAUUGAUUAAUUUUGUUUAUUUUGUUAAAAAAACUCUUAAAAAAUUUUUCUGCUUAAUUGAUCAAUUAUGUGGUCCUUGUGAGGAAUUUGAGCCUAGAGCGUAAGUUGGGACAUCCAUGCCAACUUGAGAGGUUAUUAUUCAUUCAUGUGUGAUUAUUGUUAUCGACUAUCAAUUACUCUAGAACUUGCUUUAGAUCUUAUUAAGGAUAGUAAUACAUUUGAUUUCCAUUAAUAUGAUUUAAGAGGCCAUAGGAAUUAAGGCACGAUUACUCAUAAAAAACCGACCUUGACAUUAUUCCACUUAGCUAGCCAAUUUGAAGCCUUAAUUUCCUUAUUUUUUCUAACACCUCCAUAAAUUAAGCCAAAGCCGAAUCAACUCACCUUUUUAGGCUAGAUAAUUCAGUCUGGAAGUUCAUCACAAUUUUGACAUAUGUUGGUCAAUUUGGGGUGAUGUUUAGCUAGAAAUUAAAGGAUGAUUUUAGUGAGAAAGAAGCAGCAAGUUGCAGCCUUCUUAGUGAAUUAAAUGAACGAGGCAUUAUGUGAUCACAAUGAGGUGAAUUGGCUGAAUCAAGGGAUACGGAAACAAUGGAAGGCCGAUUGAAUUAAUCAUCUUCUUGUUAAAUUCGGGAAAAAAAAGAGAAAUAAGAGAAUUGAUGACUUUCGGAUGAUUUUUACUAGCCUAAGAAAAACUAGCUCCACCAUCCAAAUAAAUUCCUCCCAUCCACGGCACAUCACCUCAGCCCCAUUACAACCUUUAUUUUAGCCUCAAUUAUAUUUUUUUUUUUUGGAAUUUUAUGUGUUAUGUUAUAAGAUAAGGUGGACAAGCAAGCCUAUGGUGGAUAAUUGUGGUUGAUUUCAAUUUGAGAGCAUAUUAUACUAGCCUAAACACAAUGAGUGAGGAGUGCUAAUAACUUUAUUCUUUCCGGUGAGAAUUGAUCAAAGAAGCAUGAUUAAUUUCUUCUUUAUAAUAUGUUAGAUUUUCCUCUCUUGAAUAAACCAAAAUCUAAAUUGAUUGAUUUUAAAAAUUCAUCCCAAGCAUGAGCGAUGCAACAACUCUUGAGUAAUCUUGACAUUUUUGAAAUUCUUCUUGAUUCUUUUUGACUUGAUUGCUCAGGGACGAUCAAUAAUUUAAGUAUGGGGGAGUUUGUUGAGUUCGAUUUUGAGCUUAAUUUAUUCAAUUAAAUUAUUUAAAUUGUUGAUUAAUUUUUGGUUACUUAAGUUAUAAUUCAACCUAAAUUGAUUAGAGACAUUUUAUGCCGUAAUAAUUUACUUGCACUCCAAUUCAACAAUUUAAUUUUAAUUUUAUUUCAUGUGCAGGUUGAUGCCCGUAUAAGUUCAAUUUGGAAGUUAAUCCACAUGAAUAAGCUGCUGAAUGACGGUCAUAUGCUGGUUAAAGGAAUUAAAUUAACAUUGGAGGAACAGUCGGUCCAAUUACAAGCCAAACAUGUGACAAAAUUAGCAGGGGAAUUAUUAUUUUCUUCUUGCUAAGCAGUGGCCGACUUCAAUUUAAUCAAGGAAGUCAAAUCAGCUUUGAAGAGUUAAAUUAAAACUCUACUAAGCUGAAGCUAUUUUUAUGCAACGGUUUCAGCUAGGAAACGGGGGAUAAGAUUGAAUUUAAUUUUUGAAUUGUUGAAGGUUAUUAUCCCAUAAAUAGAGAAGACCAGCAGCUGGAAAAGAAAAAAAAGUAGAGAAAAAAAUACAGCAGCGUAGAAAGGCGUGACACAAGCAAGCAGAAUUUUCUAAAAUUGGACCAGCAACCCGAUCAAGGAGCUGGAGUAGCAGCUAGCAAAUUCGGCUAAUUGGGAGAAGGGAAAUCGGACGACUUGAAGAACUUCGCCUUCCAAGAAC
rnacentral:lncRNA from 1 species